CCUACGGGCGGCUGCAGUGAGGAAUAUUGGUCAAUGGACGAGAGUCUGAACCAGCCAAGUAGCGUGAAGGAUGACUGCCCUAUGGGUUGUAAACUUCUUUUAUAUGGGAAUAAAAUGUUCCACGUGUGGGUUUUUGUAUGUACCAUAUGAAUAAGGAUCGGCUAACUCCGUGCCAGCAGCCGCGGUAAUACGGAGGAUCCGAGCGUUAUCCGGAUUUUUUGGGUUUAAAGGGAGCGCAGGUGGGUUGUUAAGUCAGUUGUGAAAGUUUGCGGCUCAACCGUAAAAUUGCAGUUGAAACUGGCAGUCUUGAGUACAGUAGAGGUGGGCGGAAUUCGUGGUGUAGCGGUGAAAUGCUUAGAUAUCACGAAGAACUCCGAUUGCGAAGGCAGCUCACUGGACUGCAACUGACACUGAGGCUCGAAAGUGUGGGUAUCAAACAGGAUUAGAUACCCUAGUAGUC
rnacentral:rRNA from 1 species